GAAAUGCGAUAAGUAGUGUGAAUUGCAGAAUUCAGUGAAUCAUCGAAUCUUUGAACGCACAUUGCGCCCUUUGGUAUUCCAAAGGGCAUGCCUGUUCGAGCGUCAUUUGUACCCUCAAGCUUUGCUUGGUGUUGGGCGUCUUGUCUCCAGUUCGCUGGAGACUCGCCUUAAAGUAAUUGGCAGCCGGCCUACUGGUUUCGGAGCGCAGCACAAGUCGCGCUCUCUUCCAGCCAAGGUCAGCAUCCACAAAGCCUUUUUUCAACUUUUGACCUCGGAUCAGGUAGGGAUACCCGCUGAUCUUAAGC
rnacentral:misc_RNA from 1 species